GAUGAACGCUAGCGGCAGGCCUAAUACAUGCAAGUCGGACGGGAUUCAGGAGCUUGCUUCUGAUGAGAGUGGCGCACGGGUGCGUAACACGUAUGUAACCUACCUUUAUCAGGGGGAUAGCCUCUCGAAAGAGAGAUUAAGCCCGCAUAAAAUCACAGCACAGCAUUGUGUAAUGAUCAAAUAUUUAUAGGAUAAAGAUGGGCAUGCGGAACAUUAGCUAGAUGGCGGGGUAACGGCCCACCAUGGCGACGAUGUUUAGGGGAUCUGAGAGGAUGGCCCCCCACACGGGUACUGAGACACGGACCAGACCCCUACGGGAGGCAGCAGUAAGGAAUAUUGGACAAUGGGCGGAAGCCUGAACCAGCCAUGCCGCGUGCAGGAAGACGGCCCUACGGGUUGUAAACUGCUUUUAUACGGGAAUAAACCCAGAUACGUGUAUCUGGCUGAAUGUACUGUAAGAAUAAGGAUCGGCUAACUCCGUG
rnacentral:rRNA from 1 species